GUGAAUCAUCAAAUUUUUGAACGCAAAUUGCACUCUCUGGUAUUCCGGAGAGUAUGCCUGUUUGAGGGUCAGUUUAAAUAAAAAUCGGUGUGGUUGCUGCCUUUCGUGGUGACGCACCGGGUUAUGUUCGACUUGCCUUCGGUUAAGUGACCUUAAAUUUUGUCUGAUUUUUUUUGCGAGUAUUUAAAAGAUUUUACGUACGUUUGUGGUA
rnacentral:misc_RNA from 1 species